UUCCGGUUGAUCCUGCCGGACCUGACUGCUAUCGGAUUGAUACUAAGCCAUGCGAGUCAUUGUAGCAAUACAAGGCAGACGGCUCAGUAACGCGUAGUCAAUCUACCCUAUGGACGGGAAUAACCUCGGGAAACUGAGAAUAAUGCCCGAUAGAACAUUAUGCCUGGAAUGGUUUAUGUUUCAAAUGAUUUAUCGCCAUAGGAUGGGACUGCGGCCUAUCAGUUUGUUGGUGAGGUAAUGGCCCACCAAGACUAUUACAGGUACGGGCUCUGAGAGGAGUAGCCCGGAGAUGGGUACUGAGACACGGACCCAGGCCCUAUGGGGCGCAGCAGGCGAGAAAACUUUGCAAUGUGCGAAAGCACGACAAGGUUAAUCCGAGUGGUUUCUGCUAAAGAAACCUUUUGUCAGUCCUAGAAACACUAACGAAUAAGGGGUGGGCAAGUUCUGGUGUCAGCCGCCGCGGUAAAACCAGCACCUCAAGUGGUCAGGAUGAUUAUCGGGCCUAAAGCAUCCGUAGCUCGUUUUGUAAGUUUUCGGUUAAAUCCAUGCGCUUAACGUAUGGGCUGCCGGGAAUACUGCAUAACUAGGAAGUGGGAGAGGUAGACGGUACUCGGGAGGAAGGGGUAAAAUCCUUUGAUCUCUCGAUGGCCACCUGUGGCGAAGGCGGUCUACCAGAACACGUUCGACGGUGAGGGAUGAAAGCUGGGGGAGCAAACCGGAUUAGAUACCCGGGUAGUCCCAGCUGUAAACUAUGCAAACUCAGUGAUGCAUUGGCUUAUGGCCAAUGCAGUGCUGCAGGGAAGCCGUUAAGUUUGCCGCCUGGGAAGUACGUACGCAAGUAUGA
rnacentral:rRNA from 1 species